AAAGGAUCCUACUCGGGAAUCAAAUGCAAAGAGCCCAGGAGGAUCGUUCUAGACCAGGAUCAGAAACUACCCACUUAGUUGGAAGGAAUAGGUUAGAGGGCCGAGGCAGGAAAAUAGAGUUUCUAGAAUGUCUGUGAUAUAUAUGAGAAUUUUGCAAAUUUAUUAUAGCUCUUUAAUAUUAGAACAUUUGGAAAAGAUUAAUCAUAGGCAUAGGAAAAAACUCUAAGCAAAUGAAAAAAUAACAAGAAAUGAUUAACACUAGGAAAAACAUAAAGUCGUAUAAGAAGGAAAAAUACUCAAUAUAUACUCAUAAUAAUACAAAUGUUAACCAGUGAGUUAGUCAAAAAUUGGGUUAUACUUAUAUUGGUAGAAUAGAGAAAGGGGAGAGAUAUUGGUAUAAGAAUGCUAAGAUUUCAACUAUCAUAGGAGUGGACAGUAUUAAAAGCAAAUGAAUCUAGAAGUAGUGUCAUA
rnacentral:lncRNA from 1 species